UACGUAGGGGGCGAGCGUUGUCCGGAUUUAUUGGGCGUAAAGAGCUCGUAGGCGGUUUGGUAAGUUGGAUGUGAAAUCUCCAGGCUCAACUUGGAGGGGUCAGUUCGAUACUGCCAUGACUAGAGUUCGGUAGGGGAGUGGUGGAAUUCCUGGUGGAGCGGUGAAAGUGACGCAGCUAUCAGGAGGAACACCCGUAGCGAAGGCGGCACUCUGGGCCGGAACUGACGCUGAGGAGCGAAAGCGUGGGGAGCGAACAGG
rnacentral:rRNA from 1 species